rnacentral:rRNA from 1 species
UACAGAGGGUGCAAGCGUUGUUCGGAAUCACUGGGCGUAAAGCGCACGUAGGCGGAUUGCUAAGUCAGGGGUGAAAUCCUGGAGCUCAACUCCAGAACUGCCUUUGAUACUGGCGAUCUUGAGUCCGGGAGAGGUGAGUGGAACUGCGAGUGUAGAGGUGAAAUUCGUAGAUAUUCGCAAGAACACCAGUGGCGAAGGCGGCUCACUGGCCCGGUACUGACGCUGAGGUGCGAAAGCGUGGGGAGCAAACAGG